rnacentral:rRNA from 1 species
CGGCAUGGCGGCUGCUACCAUGCAGUCGAGCGGAAGGCCCUUCGGGGUACUCGAGCGGCGAACGGGUGAGUAACACGUGAGCAACCUGCCCCUGACUCUGGGAUAAGCCCGGGAAACUGGGUCUAAUACCGGAUAUGACCGCCUCCGGCAUCGGAUGGUGGUGGAAAGUUUUUCGGUCGGGGAUGGGCUCGCGGCCUAUCAGCUUGUUGGUGGGGUAGUGGCCUACCAAGGCGACGACGGGUAGCCGGCCUGAGAGGGCGACCGGCCACACUGGGACUGAGACACGGCCCAGACUCCUACGGGAGGCAGCAGUGGGGAAUAUUGCGCAAUGGGCGGAAGCCUGACGCAGCGACGCCGCGUGGGGGAUGACGGCCUUCGGGUUGUAAACCUCUUUCAGCAGGGACGAAGUUGACGUGUACCUGCAGAAGAAGCGCCGGCUAACUACGUGCCAGCAGCCGCGGUAAUACGUAGGGCGCAAGCGUUGUCCGGAAUUAUUGGGCGUAAAGAGCUCGUAGGUGGCUGGUCGCGUCUGCCGUGAAAGCCCGCAGCUUAACUGCGGGUCUGCGGUGGAUACGGGCCGGCUAGAGGUAGGUAGGGGCAAGUGGAAUUCCUGGUGUAGCGGUGAAAUGCGCAGAUAUCAGGAGGAACACCGGUGGCGAAGGCGGCUUGCUGGGCCUUACCUGACGCUGAGGAGCGAAAGCGUGGGGAGCGAACAGGAUUAGAUACCCUGGUAGUCCACGCUGUAAACGUUGGGCGCUAGGUGUGGGACCCUUCCACGGGUUCCGUGCCGGAGCUAACGCAUUAAGCGCCCCGCCUGGGGGAGUACGGCCGCAAGGCUAAAACUCAAAGGAAUUGACGGGGGCCCGCACAAGCGGCGGAGCAUGUUGCUUAAUUCGACGCAACGCGAAGAACCUUACCAAGGUUUGACAUCACCCGGACCGCCUCAGAGAUGGGGCUUCCCUUUUGGGCUGGGUGACAGGUGGUGCAUGGCUGUCGUCAGCUCGUGUCCUGAGAUGUUUGGGUUAAGUCCCGCAACGAGCGCAACCCUUGGUCCAUGUUGC